rnacentral:misc_RNA from 1 species
AAAUACGAUAAGUAAUGUGAAUUGCAGAAUUCAGUGAAUCAUCGAAUCUUUGAACGCACCUUGCGCUCCUUGGUAUUCCUUGGAGCAUGCCUGUUUGAGUAUCAUGAAAUCUUCAAAGUAAAUCUUUUGUUAACUCAAUUGGUUUCUACUUUGGUAUUGGAGGUCUUUGCAGCUUCACACCUGCUCCUCUUUGUUCAUUAGCUGGAUCUCAGUGUUAUGCUUGGUUCCACUCGGCGUGAUAAGUUAUCUAUCGCUGAGGACACUGUAAAAGGUGGCCAAGGUAAAUGCAGAUGAACCGCUUCUAAUAGUCCAUUGACUUGGACAAUACUUUUAUGAUCUGAUCUCAAAUCAGGUAGGACUACCCGCUGAACUUAAGC